GAAUAUCUUGUGUGCAGCACGCAUUGCCUGUACAAAUUUAAUAAGCCUUGGCCUACAGAUAAAUAAAUAAGAUGUCUUUUAUUGGCUUCAAUAUGAUGUGCCAUUACAAUGUCUAGUAUUGUCAACAAAGGCGUAUGAGAAGUGUCAACCCAGGCCUUGAGAUGGACUUCAAAUCGAAGUAUCCAUGAAAGCGAGGGACAAGAUCGACUACAACCGCGUCCGAACGAAAGACUUCAAUUUCGCUUGCAUCACUCAAAAACUACUGGCUUUGGAUUAUUCUCUCUCAAACAUGUUACAGCAAGUAAAGCUCAAUGCAAUUACCCCAUAUCCAUUCCUCCACCAUCACAACACUGCGAAAGCAUAUCAAAUUGCAGCUCAUAUCUAUGGAACAGUUUCCAAAGUAUAAGUUAAUAAAAGCCCUAUCCAAACUACUUAAUCAUUCUGCAACCCUCCUCCUUUAUCUGGACUUGGGACCAGCCAGAAAACAUAACCUUGAGAUAUUUGAA
rnacentral:misc_RNA from 1 species